AUAGACAUUAUAUCAAGAGGAUACUAACUAUUUCAUACUGUUAUCUAAUGUAAGCGUAUAUAUAUAUUUUUAUGAUUUUAAAUUUAUUUGAAGUUAAGUCAUUUUCGAACGCCCUUCCUGAGCCACAGCUGAAGGAUGUAAACAAACGCGUCCAGGGUGUCUCGCUACUUCGCUUUGAAAUUUCUUCUAUUUCAGAUAUGUUCAUUAGAUAGAGUAGGAUCAGUAUGGACCAAGGACUGAGCUUUGGGGCUCACCACUCUCUACUGCAGUCCAACUGGACAUUUCUUUGCAGUGUACUUCUCUUUGAUUUCUCUUGGUAAAGACUGGAUGUGGAGAUGGACAGGUACCUCAUCACACCAAAGAGAAAAAUGGCAGAAGAAAUUACAGAACAGUUUGUGAGUAUUAAAGAUAUUGCAGGACAACUACAGUCCUUAUAUCAGAUAAAACAAUAUCUAUUAUAGAUCCAGUUUCCAGUUUCCAAUUUGAGAUUAACUUGUUUUUGGAUUGUUGGAUUUAGAUCCUGCU